UACGUAGGGUCCGAGCGUUGUCCGGAAUUAUUGGGCGUAAAGAGCUCGUAGGCGGUCUGUCGCGUCGGAUGUGAAAAUCCAGGGCUCAACCCUGGACCUGCAUUCGAUACGGGCAGACUAGAGUUCGGUAGGGGAGACUGGAAUUCCUGGUGUAGCGGUGAAAUGCGCAGAUAUCAGGAGGAACACCGGUGGCGAAGGCGGGUCUCUGGGCCGAAACUGACGCUGAGGAGCGAAAGCGUGGGGAGCAAACAGG
rnacentral:rRNA from 1 species